rnacentral:hammerhead_ribozyme from 1 species
GUCUAGCUAAAGAGUCCCAAAUGGGACGAAACGUGCGUACUGGAU